UGAGCGCCCUGGUUGCCUUUGAACCCUUGUGCUGUGAUUUGCUCCCAGUCCGUGGGCCCGGCAGUUGCAGCAGGUUUAAAGCCCCCCGGCUGAGUGAGGCCGAGCGGCUGCUGUGCAGAGGAGCAGCUGCCCAGAGGAGGGUCCCGCGAUGGCUCCAGGCUGCCAUCGCCUGGCAGUGGGGCCUGGAGCCGAGGGGGAGAUCGGGGCUGCCCCGCUGAGCUCCCUGGGACUGACAGGGGCCGGGUGGGGCCGGGAGAGGCUCCCCCGGCUCCCCCCGGCAAUAAUUCCAUCGUCUUUCUGCCAAGGGUCCCUGAAGGAACUUGUCUGUCUUUCCGUGUCGGGUGACAAGGCCCAGGCUGAGGAUAAAGCUGAUGGGGCCGAGGCCGUCAGAGCAGCAGCGCCAGGGCUGAGGCGACAGGCACAGCCCGGGCCCAGCUGAUGGCCCCGGUCUGGGUGUGCUCUGUCCGGUGGCCCCGGGGCCGGAGCCGGCAGGGACGGGCUUUCCGGAGCUCUGCAGAGGGCCCAGGCAGUCGGGCUGCAGACUCUGCACUCUUCAGCAAGGGCUUGAUCUUGAAGAACAGCUUCAUCCAGGGCCAGUGUUUGACGUUCAUGAAUGCACGAAUGUUGUACUGGAUGCAGAAGAUGGACUCUCUGAAAGGUAACCCCUGCAUCUGGCCUGUGUGCGAGUGAUGAGCUGUGCCAGCUUCUCAUCCCUCAUCUCCUCCAGGAGGCCUACGAGCCCAGCUUUGAAGAACACCUUAGAAACAUCAUCCUCGGACAAGUGGGCAAAUAGAAAAGCUGUGCAUUCAGUGGAAUGGAGUAUGAGUAGAUUACACUGGAUUUAUUCCUAGUAAAAUGUGGCCCAAGAACUUCAGGAUCUUUUAAAAGAACUAAGCCAAAAAAAGACAAGCCAUAGUGAUUGGUGAGUUUACUCCUUAUAUUAGGAAGAAAGAGUGAAGUCUCUACUGUACCCGGAAAAGAGCCGAGACAGUCUGGAAAGAAGAACCCUUCUUCUUGGCACCUUUCUUGCCUGCACCGCUGGCCUCGGCUAAAUUAAAAAUAAAUAAAACAAUUUUAGAUUUUUG